CAGCAGCCGCGGUAAUACGAAGGGUGCAAGCGUUACUCGGAAUUACUGGGCGUAAAGCGUGCGUAGGUGGUGGUUUAAGUCCGUUGUGAAAGCCCUGGGCUCAACCUGGGAAUUGCAGUGGAUACUGGGUCACUAGAGUGUGGUAGAGGAUAGUGGAAUUUCCGGUGUAGCAGUGAAAUGCGUAGAGAUCGGGAGGAACAUCAGUGGCGAAGGCGGCCAUCUGGGACAACACUGACGCUGAGGCACGAAAGCGUGGGGAGCAAACAGGAUUAGAUACCCCCGUAGUCCCUGUCUCUUAUAC
rnacentral:rRNA from 1 species